GGUUGCCCGAGAAAAGAACAUAAAUUCUGCCUUAAAACUUAGACACCAUCAAAGUGCACCCCAGCUUUAAGAGUUAUUCAAACGAGGUACAGCUCGUUUGAAACAGGAAACAACCUAACACCUAGGUAAAGAUUAUACUUUUUAAGGUCUUGACAAAGUUGGCCUAAAAGCAGCCACCUUGUAAGAAAGCGUCACAGCUCAAACAAACUACCACACUAAUACCUAUAACUUCUUCUAACCCUACCAAACUAUCGAGCCCAUUUAUAUUAUUAUAAAAAAGUUUAUGUUAGAACUAGUAACAAGAAACGAACUUCUCUUAAUGCAAGUGUACAUCAGAUUGAACCAAUCACUGAUAAUUACCGGCCCAUCACUAAGGGGAAUGUAAUAACCCUUCAAGAAAACCAUACACAAACAACCGUUAAACUUACACGAGAGCAUUUCAAGAAAGAUUAAAAGGUGCGGAAGGAACUCGGCAAAUACGAACUUCGCCUG
rnacentral:rRNA from 1 species